rnacentral:rRNA from 1 species
ACGUAGGAGGCAAGCGUUAUCCGGAUUUACUGGGCGUAAAAGGCGCGUAGGUGGUUGGGAAGGUCUGUUGUGAAAGCGCUCGGCUUAACUGAGCGAGGCCACUGGAAACCGCCCAACUGGAGUCGCGCAGAGGGCACUGGAAUUCCCGGUGUAGUGGUGGAAUGCGUAGAGAUCGGGAGGAACACCAGAGGCGCAAGCG